rnacentral:lncRNA from 1 species
CCGUCGUUGAACCAGCCUGAUUUAGCCCACUUAGACCACCUCCUACGGGUGGCCUUGGCGCAAUUCCCUGAGCAGGGGGGAUGUUUGCAUUUGGAGGUUGUGGCGGUCUAACAGGAUGACCCGGUUGGGGUACUUGUGGGGUGUUUGCACUUGGAGGUUGUGGCGGCCUAACAGGAUGACCCUGUUGGGGUACUUGUGGGGUGUUUGCACUUGGAGGUUGUGGCGGCCUAACAAGAUUACCCGAUUGGGGUACUUGUAGGUUCAAUGAUGAUCCAGGAGGGCCCUGUGAUCCAUUUACAACUGGUGUCUGUUGACG